CUGAAAAUCAGAGUGACUGGGGCAAAUCUAGGACUGAUAUUAAUUAAACAAUCAUAAUUGCAUUAUUUAACAGGCAAUUUCAAUGAUUUUGAUAAAAUUCAUGAAAUAAUUUAAAUAGUUGAGAUGAUUUAGUGGUCUAAUGAUGCUAAUAUAAAAAUAGAUAUGUUCCAAAAGGUAGUCAGUUAAGAUAUAUUUUAUAUAUAAGUUGAGAGGUUAAGGUUCUGUAGACAGCUGAUAAUAUGAAAUUAGAAUUUAAAGAGUUAGAAAUACGUAUAUAGCAUUUGACAUAAUUAGCACUGAGAAAUGAUGGGCAUAAGGCUGAAUUAGCUCUCUAAGAAAGUUGGCAUAAAAGUUUUGUCCUUAGCCUUGGGCUUCUCGUCUUUAGCACUGACAUCUUAUAUGCUGAGAAAGUCUGCUAGAGUUAUGUUAAAAGAAAGAAGAAAGAUCU
rnacentral:lncRNA from 1 species